CCCUUAGAUGUCCGGGGCCGCACGCGCGCUACACUGAUGCAUUCAACGAGCUUUACCUUGGCCGAGAGGCCUGGGCAAUCUUUUAAACCUGCAUCGUGAUAGGGAUAGAUUAUUGCAAUUAUUAAUCUUGAACGAGGAAUUCCUAGUAAACGCAAAUCAUCAAUUUGCAUUGAUUACGUCCCUGCCCUUUGUACACACCGCCCGUCGCACCUACCGAUUGAAUGGUCCGGUGAAGCCUCGGGAUUGUGGCCAGUUCACUUUAUUGGGAGUUGGCUGUGAGAACUUGUCUAAACCUUAUCAUUUAGAGGAAGGUGAAGUCGUAACA
rnacentral:rRNA from 1 species